UACGUAGGGGGGCUAGCGUUGUCCGGAUUUAUUGGGCGUAAAGAGCGUGUAGGCGGCCAUGUAGGUCCGGGUGAUGAAACUCGAGGCUUAACCUCGAGAUGUCAUCGGAAACCAUUUGGCUAGAGUCCGGAAGAGGAGAGUGGAAUUCCUGGUGUAGCGGUGAAAAUGCGCAGAUAUCAGGAAGAACACCAAUGGCGAAAGCAGCUCUCUGGGACGGUACUGACGCUGAGACGCGAAAAGCGUGGGGGAGCGAACAGG
rnacentral:rRNA from 1 species